UCCAUUAUUCUUUGGUUAGUACUCGCAAAGCACUUUUUCAUCCUUUUACUUUCAACCUUCUUUUAUAUAGUAGGUGUGUUUCUUGUAAACUGUUUCUAGUUGGGUUUUUUAAAAAAAUCUAGUCUGACAGUCUUUGCCUUUUAACUUAUUAGUUUAGUCCUUUUACGUUUAUUGUAAGUAUUGAUAGAAUUUGGGUUUAGUCGUACUAUCUUAAUUUGUGCUUUCUAUUUGUACAACUUUUUCUAUUCUUUUUCCUCUUUUUUUCAUGCUUUUAGCUUUUUUACCUUCAUUCUAUUUUUCCUUCAGUCAAUUUGAAAGCUAUAAAUUCUAUUGCUAUUGCUUUCCUUGUUUUCUUAAAAUAUGCAUAUUUUGCUAUGGAUUUAUUUCUCUUCUUUGUAGGGAUUGCCCUAGAAUUUUUUUUUUUUUUUUAGACGGAGUNNNNNNNNNNNNNNNNNNNNAGGCUGGAGUGCAGUGGCACAAUCUCAGCUCACUGCAAGCUCCGCCUCCCAGCUGGUGUUGAUCUCCUGACCUCAAGUAAUCCACCUGCUUCGGCCUGCCGAAGUGCUGGGAUUACAGGCGUGAGCCACCACGCAUGGCCAAGAAAUGUUAACACGUAUA
rnacentral:lncRNA from 1 species